rnacentral:rRNA from 1 species
UACGUAGGUGGCAAGCGUUAUCCGGAAUUAUUGGGCGUAAGCGCGCGCAGGCGGUUUCUUAAGUCUGAUGUGAAAGCCCACGGCUCAACCGUGGAGGGUCAUUGGAAACUGGGGAACUUGAGUGCAGAAGAGAAAAGCGGAAUUCCACGUGUAGCGGUGAAAUGCGUAGAGAUGUGGAGGAACACCAGUGGCGAAGGCGGCUUUUUGGUCUGUAACUGACGCUGAGGCGCGAAAGCGUGGGGAGCAAACAGG